ACGAACGCUGGCGGCGUGCUUCACCCAUGCAAGUCGAACGGAAAGGCCCUGCUUUUGUGGGGUGCUCGAGUGGCGAACGGGUGAGUAACACGUGAGUAACCUGCCCUUGACUUUGGGAUAACUUCAGGAAACUGGGGCUAAUACCGGAUAGGAGCUCCUGCUGCAUGGUGGGGGUUGGAAAGUUUCGGCGGUUGGGGAUGGACUCGCGGCUUAUCAGCUUGUUGGUGGGGUAGUGGCUUACCAAGGCUUUGACGGGUAGCCGGCCUGAGAGGGUGACCGGCCACAUUGGGACUGAGAUACGGCCCAGACUCCUACGGGAGGCAGCAGUGGGGAAUAUUGCACAAUGGGCGGAAGCCUGAUGCAGCAACGCCGCGUGCGGGAUGACGGCCUUCGGGUUGUAAACCGCUUUCGCCUGUGACGAAGCGUGAGUGACGGUAAUGGGUAAAGAAGCACCUGCUAACUACGUG
rnacentral:rRNA from 1 species